GGGUUGUGAGGUUAAGCGACUAAGCGUACACGGUGGAUGCCCUGGCAGUCAGAGGCGAUGAAGGACGUGCUAAUCUGCGAAAAGCGUCGGUAAGGUGAUAUGAACCGUUAUAGCCGGCGAUGUCCGAAUGGGGAAACCCAGUGUGAUUCGUCACACUAUCGUUAACUGAAUACAUAGGUUAACGAGGCGAACCGGGGGAACUGAAACAUCUAAGUACCCCGAGGAAAAGAAAUCAACCGAGAUUCCCCCAGUAGCGGCGAGCGAACGGGGAGCAGCCCAGAGUUUGAAUCAGCUUGUGUGUUAGUGGAACGGUCUGGAAAGUCCGACGGUACAGGGUGAUAGUCCCGUACACCAAAAUGCACAGGCUGUGAACUCGAAGAGUAGGGCGGGACACGUGGUAUCCUGUCUGAAUAUGGGGGGACCAUCCUCCAAGGCUAAAUACUCCUGACUGACCGAUAGUGAACCAGUACCGUGAGGGAAAGGCGAAAAGAACCCCGGCGAGGGGAGUGAAAAAGAACCUGAAACCGUGUACGUACAAGCAGUGGGAGCACCUUCGGGUGUGACUGCGUACCUUUUGUAUAAUGGGUCAGCGACUUAUAUUCUGUAGCAAGGUUAACCGUAUAGGGGAGCCGCAGGGAAACCGAGUCUUAACUGGGCGUUAAGUUGCAGGGUAUAGACCCGAAACCCGGUGAUCUAGCCAUGGGCAGGUUGAAGGUUGGGUAACACUAACUGGAGGACCGAACCGACUAAUGUUGAAAAAUUAGCGGAUGACUUGUGGCUGGGGGUGAAAGGCCAAUCAAACCGGGAGAUAGCUGGUUCUCCCCGAAAGCUAUUUAGGUAGCGCCUCGUGAACUCAUCUUCGGGGGUAGAGCACUGUUUCGGCUAGGGGGUCAUCCCGACUUACCAACCCGAUGCAAACUACGAAUACCGAAGAAUGUUAUCACGGGAGACACACGGCGGGUGCUAACGUCCGUCGUGAAGAGGGAAACAACCCAGACCGCCAGCUAAGGUCCCAAAGUCAUGGUUAAGUGGGAAACGAUGUGGGAAGGCACAGACAGCCAGGAUGUUGGCUUAGAAGCAGCCAUCAUUUAAAGAAAGCGUAAUAGCUCACUGGUCGAGUCGGCCUGCGCGGAAGAUGUAACGGGGCUAAACCAUGCACCGAAGCUGCGGCAGCGACACUAUGUGUUGUUGGGUAGGGGAGCGUUCUGUAAGCCUGCGAAGGUGACCUGUGAGGGUUGCUGGAGGUAUCAGAAGUGCGAAUGCUGACAUAAGUAACGAUAAAGCGGGUGAAAAGCCCGCUCGCCGGAAGACCAAGGGUUCCUGUCCAACGUUAAUCGGGGCAGGGUGAGUCGACCCCUAAGGCGAGGCCGAAAGGCGUAGUCGAUGGGAAACAGGUUAAUAUUCCUGUACUUGGUGUUACUGCGAAGGGGGGACGGAGAAGGCUAUGUUAGCCGGGCGACGGUUGUCCCGGUUUAAGCAUGUAGGCUGGUUAUCCAGGCAAAUCCGGAUAAUCAAGGCUGAGGUGUGAUGACGAGGCACUACGGUGCUGAAGUAACAAAUGCCCUGCUUCCAGGAAAAGCCUCUAAGCAUCAGGUAACAUCAAAUCGUACCCCAAACCGACACAGGUGGUCAGGUAGAGAAUACCAAGGCGCUUGAGAGAACUCGGGUGAAGGAACUAGGCAAAAUGGUGCCGUAACUUCGGGAGAAGGCACGCUGGUGUGUAGGUGAAGUCCCUGCGGAUGGAGCUGAGACCAGUCGAAGAUACCAGCUGGCUGCAACUGUUUAUUAAAAACACAGCACUGUGCAAACACGAAAGUGGACGUAUACGGUGUGACGCCUGCCCGGUGCCGGAAGGUUAAUUGAUGGGGUUAUCCGUAAGGAGAAGCUCUUGAUCGAAGCCCCGGUAAACGGCGGCCGUAACUAUAACGGUCCUAAGGUAGCGAAAUUCCUUGUCGGGUAAGUUCCGACCUGCACGAAUGGCGUAAUGAUGGCCAGGCUGUCUCCACCCGAGACUCAGUGAAAUUGAACUCGCUGUGAAGAUGCAGUGUACCCGCGGCAAGACGGAAAGACCCCGUGAACCUUUACUAUAGCUUGACACUGAACAUUGAGCCUUGAUGUGUAGGAUAGGUGGGAGGCUUUGAAGCGUGGACGCCAGUCUGCGUGGAGCCAACCUUGAAAUACCACCCUUUAAUGUUUGAUGUUCUAACGUUGGCCCCUUACCGGGGUUGCGGACAGUGUCUGGUGGGUAGUUUGACUGGGGCGGUCUCCUCCCAAAGCGUAACGGAGGAGCACGAAGGUUAGCUAAUCCUGGUCGGACAUCAGGAGGUUAGUGCAAUGGCAUAAGCUAGCUUGACUGCGAGCGUGACGGCGCGAGCAGGUGCGAAAGCAGGUCAUAGUGAUCCGGUGGUUCUGAAUGGAAGGGCCAUCGCUCAACGGAUAAAAGGUACUCCGGGGAUAACAGGCUGAUACCGCCCAAGAGUUCAUAUCGACGGCGGUGUUUGGCACCUCGAUGUCGGCUCAUCACAUCCUGGGGCUGAAGUAGGUCCCAAGGGUAUGGCUGUUCGCCAUUUAAAGUGGUACGCGAGCUGGGUUUAGAACGUCGUGAGACAGUUCGGUCCCUAUCUGCCGUGGGCGCUGGAGAAUUGAGGGGGGCUGCUCCUAGUACGAGAGGACCGGAGUGGACGCAUCACUGGUGUUCGGGUUGUCAUGCCAAUGGCACUGCCCGGUAGCUAAAUGCGGAAGAGAUAAGUGCUGAAAGCAUCUAAGCACGAAACUUGCCCCGAGAUGAGUUCUCCCUGAGACUUUAAGUCUCCUGAAGGAACGUUGAAGACGACGACGUUGAUAGGCCGGGUGUGUAAGCGCAGCGAUGCGUUGAGCUAACCGGUACUAAUGAACCGUGAGGCUUAACCUUACAACGCCGAAG
rnacentral:rRNA from 1 species